rnacentral:ncRNA from 1 species
CAAAGGUUUGGUCCUAGCCCUUCUAUUAGCCAUCAGUAGGAUUACACAUGCAAGUAUCAGCACCCCGGUGAAGAUGCCCUUUAAUCACCAACGGUGAUAAAGGAGCGGGUAUCAAGCACACUAUACAGUAGCUAAAGACACCUUGCCUAGCCACACCCCCACGGGAUACAGCAGUGACAAAAAUUAAGCCAUGAACGAAAGUUUGACUAAGCCAUACUAACUCUCAGGGUUGGUAAAUUUCGUGCCAGCCACCGCGGUCAUACGAUUAACCCGAGUUAAUAGACAUACGGCGUAAAACGUGUUAAGGAAACUCCACCCAGUAAUAAAGUUAAAUCUCAAGCUAUGCUGUAGAAAGCUCUAGCUAAGACAAAAAUAAACCACGAAGGUGACUUUAAACCAUCCGACCACACGAUAGCUAAGACACAAACUGGGAUUAGAUACCCCACUAUGCUUAGCCCUAAACCUAAGUAGCCAAAACAACAAUGCUAUUCGCCAGAGUACUACUAGCAACAGCUUAAAACUCAAAGGACUUGGCGGUGCUUUACAUCCCUCUAGAGGAGCCUGUUCUGUAAUCGAUAAACCCCGAUAAACCUCACCAACUCUUGCUAAUACAGCCUAUAUACCGCCAUCUUCAGCAAACCCUAAAAAGGAAACAAAGUAAGCAAAACCAUAAAACAUAAAAACGUUAGGUCAAGGUGUAGCCUAUGAGUUGGAAAGAAAUGGGCUACAUUUUCUAGCAUAGAACACCAACGAAAAUUUUCGUGAAAUCGAAAAUAGAAGGAGGAUUUAGUAGUAAAUUAAGAAUAGAGAGCUUAAUUGAAUCAGGCCAUGAAGCACGCACACACCGCCCGUCACCCUCCUCAAGUAUAAAGAUACAAGUACCCAAUCCUAUUAACGAACGUACAUGCAUACAAGAGGAGAUAAGUCGUAACAAGGUAAGCGUACUGGAAAGUGCGCUUG